UGACUCAGAGUAAGUCAGCGAAGGGAAUACAUAAGGCAGCUAUAUACCCCGAUUGUUUCACUUUGCAUGUGCAUCAGCUCCACCACCUGCACGAGGAAGACAAGCAAGGGACUGCGGCACAGAAAGGUCCAGAAGCACUGUGAGCUCGCUGGAAAAGUCGGAGAAAUGCAGCCAAACUAAAACGGUACAUGUUAUUAAUUUUGGACAAGUCAGAGAUAAUGAAGUACAUCUUGCUGGCGCUCUCAGCCAGAGGAAGCUCGCAGAUGACAGAGGAGGAAGUGGUUCACGGGUGACCAUACAGGGGACCAAGAGCACUUGCAUGACGGACAAGGCAAGGAGAAAGAACUUGAGGUAAUGUUACGCCAGAAGUUAGCAGAAGCCGGCAGUCCUUCUCGGCGCCCUGAGCAUCUCACCCCCCUCUACGGCAGGAUCAAUCAGACCCAUGGCUCUGCGGUUUCUGAAGAGCUUUCUUUUUUUUGUAAUCGUCAUUCCCCUGUCUACACUGUUUAAUCAUAUUAACAUAAAAGUUUAAGAAAACAUGAUAUAUGAUCACCAAAAAAAAGGAAG